GACGAACGCUGGCGGCGUGCCUAAUACAUGCAAGUCGAACGCUUCUUUCCUCCCGAGUGCUUGCACUCAAUUGGAAAGAGGAGUGGCGGACGGGUGAGUAACACGUGGGUAACCUACCCAUCAGAGGGGGAUAACACUUGGAAACAGGUGCUAAUACCGCAUAACAGUUUAUGCCGCAUGGCAUAAGAGUGAAAGGCGCUUUCGGGUGUCGCUGAUGGAUGGACCCGCGGUGCAUUAGCUAGUUGGUGAGGUAACGGCUCACCAAGGCCACGAUGCAUAGCCGACCUGAGAGGGUGAUCGGCCACACUGGGACUGAGACACGGCCCAGACUCCUACGGGAGGCAGCAGUAGGGAAUCUUCGGCAAUGGACGAAAGUCUGACCGAGCAACGCCGCGUGAGUGAAGAAGGUUUUCGGAUCGUAAAACUCUGUUGUUAGAGAACAACAAGGACGUUAGUAACUGAACGUCCCCUGACGGUAUCUAACCAGAAAGCCACGGCUAACUACGUG
rnacentral:rRNA from 1 species